rnacentral:rRNA from 1 species
GACGAACGCUGGCGGCGUGCUUAACACAUGCAAGUCGAACGGAAAGGCCCUGCUUUUGUGGGGUGCUCGAGUGGCGAACGGGGGAGUAACACGUGAGUAACCUGCCCUUGACUUUGGGAUAACUUCAGGAAACUGGGGCUAAUACCGGAUAGGAGCUCCUGCUGCAUGGUGUGGGUUGGUAAGUUUCGGCGGUUGGGGAUGUACUCGCGGCUUAUCAGCUUGUUGGUGGGGUAGUGGCUUACCAAGGCUUUGACGGGUAGCCGGCCUGGGAGGGUGACCGGCCACAUUGGGACUGCGAUACGGCCCAGACUACUACGGGAGGCAGCAGUGGGGAAUAUUGCACAAUGGGCCGAAGCCUGAUGCAGAAACGCCGCGUGCGGGAUGACGGCCUUCGGGUUGUAAACCGCUUUCGCCUGUGACGAAGCGUGAGUGACGGUAAUGGGUAAAGAAGCACCGGCUAACUACGUG